AAACUGAGAGCGCGCGCGGUGAACGAAAAUUUCGAGUCGCCGGCACGGGGUGUCGAAAUUUUCGAGCCGGCCCAUUUAACUGCAAAGUCCACGCUAGCCUAACCCUAAUUUUCCUUCUCCCAGCUCCUCCCCUACCAACCUUCAGCAGCCACCACUCUACCUAUCCUCCUCAUGCCACUCAACCGGCAUCGGCGCUGAACCACCCCGCGCCGCUUCACCGCCGCCGACGCUGAACCACCCCACGCCGGGCCGUUCCCCACCAUUCCCCUCCCCUCGACAUUCAGAUCUCUGCUAGUCCUACCCCUCGAGCCGAGGCGGCAGCGGUGGCAGCGGGACCAACGGCUGGACUUGGAAGUCCUCGAGGUCACCGGCGGCGGGGCCGACGACAUGAUUUGGAAGUCUCAGAGGUCACCGGCAGCGGGCACGGAUCCAGCUCCAUCCAACGGAGAGCCCAUGUCGGUCUCAUGGGGAUGGUUAGCUGCAAGGCAGAGCAGAACACAUACAUGUCCUUCACGCUCGACGACGACACCGACUGCAUCGAUUUCAUCAGAUGGUGAGUGAAGAGCACCGGUAGCACCGACGAUGUUGGCUAUUAGUACGACAGUGCAAGAAAUCCAGUAAUAAGGGAAUAAAACCCACAGAUUCUUAACCAUCUCUGAUUAGUUCAGUAAUUGAGUUCCAGAUGUGUUUUAGGAUACAAGUUGCCCGCGAUUGAGACAGGUUUUCCAAUUUACAUGUUGCGCAAGAUUCAUCUCUCUUUCCACCCCUUUGUCUUGCCUUUGGUCUUCCUACGUCCAGGGGAAUGGCUUGCUUGCUGUUCACUUCGUACAUAAUACUUGUUCUUCCCAGAAUACUGUCGAGACACCAUACUCCAUGUUAUUUAUUGAUGAUUUUUAGGGGUUCUCAUGCUUGUUUAUUCUAGAUUGCUCUGUCAGAACUGCUUGUGUGUCCAUCUGCGGCAAUGGCUGCUGGACAGUUUGUCUAUUUCUUGCCUUCCUUGCUCCCUAGUGAUGUUCAUUAUAAUGUCUCUUAGGAACCUCAAUUACUUAUUUCUGUCUACUGUGAGGUAUUUGUUCAGUUUCAAUCUGAAUUGCCUAACUUGGAGUGACAAUCCGCAUUUUAAUUUUGAUAUAACUUCAAACAUUUUAAUUUUGGAAGACAAUGAUUACCCCAAUGCAAUUGGAGUUCAGUUAGUGUUUACUAUUGCUCACUUGUUAUACAGUGUACUGUCUAUCUAUGUUAGAACACUUGUUGGUUCUUUUAGGAAUGGUAAAUCUCACCACGGACUCGAGGGCAAGAAUUGAACCAAUUCAAUUAAUUACAAUAGAACAAUUACACAACAAAAGAGAAAAUAAAGGAGGUAAUUGUUGGCAGUAGAUGGAUUUUACUAAAUCAAAAUUGUGAUUCUUUAGUUAUUUAUUUUAGAUUUGCAAUCCUUAUAAUUUGUACUUUUUCUAAUCGUUUGGGCAACAAAAAACACUUGUGUUUAUUAUUAGUAAUCUUAUGCCAAUUGACAAUUAUUACUGAGCAAACAGAAGUGAUGGCCGCAUUGUGAAGAACACCUUAUAUAUGCGUCAGGUUUGGUCACCUGUGAAUGUUCAGACAGUUGUGGUGGUGUAUCCACUUCAGAUUUUCAUUAAAACCUGAAGUAAUAUUGCAUUUCUUUAAUGUGGUCAAUACUUUCAUGUAGUCUGGAACAUGAUAGUCACUAUUGCGCGUGUUUCAGUAUGCCAAAGCUGAACUUGUGUGGCACAUCUUGUGAAAACUAUCUUACUUUUGGUUGUGUCGUGUGUGCUAUCUCUGCAUCUGCACUUGCAUGCUAUUGGACAGCUUAAUCUUAUGUUAAUAACUAUGCAUUUAUUACUAUAUGACAUGUAAAGUUAAUUUAAGGCGACCGAUCAUUUAGCUAGCUCCACACAUGUUACAGUGUUAUACUCUGUCACCUAGCUAGCUUGUCAUAUCAGGGUAAAUGUUUUGGUUUGGCAUGGCUAUCAUAAGCAGAUGAUGCUUUUGUAAUCCUUUUUCUUUUCUAUUGGCGGCGCGUCUAACAUUGCCAAUACCAUGAUGUGGUCUAUGUUCAUUCACAGUUCACCAUGAUGGCAGGGUGCGGCAACGCGCUACUUCAGGUUCUAGUAUGUUCGUAAUUUACCAAUGUAAAUGCUGAAAUCUAUUAAUUCAGUGUACUAUUGUUGUCUCAUAGGUCCUAAACAUGCUUAACUGGGAACUUAACUGGGAAGCUCAGAAUGCUAAUUCAGGUCAAUUGUAAACUAGCAUCCCUUUGUGAUUUAUGAACUUUGAGGUUGGCACUCAGCUGGAGAUUGAAGUUUUUAGCAGGAAUUACUUGGCCUCGAAUAACUACCUGGAAGCAUUAGUGGUGUAGCGUUGGAGAUUAAAUCCAGCUAGUAGUAUAUUUACUUGAUUUUUUUGUGCUUAUAGGGCUUUCUAGAUAUGUAUGUGAUGUUUUGAUACAAAUAUUUGUUACGAAAUAUGUAUAUGGCAACCGUGUGGCAGAUUGCAAAACUGCCACACGCAUCCAGCGCCGUCAGUUC